rnacentral:lncRNA from 1 species
GAUCAUCAGCCAGUCCAAGUGGGUCGAAAGCACCACCUGGGUAAAUUGGGUCCAGUCCUUCACCAAGUGGUCCCCCACCAACUCUGUAUCCUUCAACAAAUCCCAUGAGCACAACUUGGCAAGCCCAGAUUGCAAGAAUGCUCUGAGCAUGGAUAAGGUUUGGGUUGCCAAGAUAGUCAAGGCCGCCCUCGGAGAAUAUUUGAGAUCCAGCUUUGAACCAAACUGCCUCUCCGAACUUAACUCCAUUCUUUGAAAGAAUUUCAGGGAAG